rnacentral:rRNA from 1 species
GACGAACGCUGGCGGCGUGCCUAAUACAUGCAAGUAGAACGCUGAAGGAGGAGCUUGCUUCUCUGGAUGAGUUGCGAACGGGUGAGUAACGCGUAGGUAACCUGCCUGGUAGCGGGGGAUAACUAUUGGAAACGAUAGCUAAUACCGCAUAAUAGUAGAUGUUGCAUGACAUUUGCUUAAAAGUUGCAAUUGCAUCACUACCAGAUGGACCUGCGUCGUAUUAGCUAGUUGUAGAGGUAACGGCUCACCAAGGCAACGAUACAUAGCCGAAAUGAGAGGGGGAGCGGCCGGCCUGGGAGUGAGACACGGCACAUAGUGCCACGGGAAGCAGCAGGAGGGCAUCUGGGGCCAUGGACGGAAGACUGACCGAGCAACGCCGAGUGAGGGAAGAAGGUCUUCGGGUCGGAAAGGUCGGUUGUCAGAGAAGAAAGAGUGUGAGCGUGGAAAGUACACUGUGUGACGGUAACUGACCAGAAAGGGACGGCUAACUACGUG